AGGGCAUGUUUUUUCUUUUCAUCUUUUCUUAUAAGACAACAUUUCCAGGUCUUAGGUCUAGUGGAAGCUGCUUCGGAGCCAUGGAGAAAAGGCAGCCUGCGCUGAUUGACCAUGAGCCUAAGUACACUGCAUGAACCUUUGGAAGUACCUCUUCUAUGUCUGCCUGAAGUGUUAAAACUGUGCAUCUGGAUAUACAGCUCAGACAGC
rnacentral:lncRNA from 1 species